CCGGCCCCGUCCCUCUCCCAAGUCGCACCCUCCCAUUCCGUGGAAGAGGCAGCAUCGUGUCCUCUACUCCUUACCUGAACUUUCUCUGUUUCUCAACGCCCGGAAUGCGGCCCAGGAGAAAAUAUAGUCCUGAGACAUCACAUUGGAUUGGAGCAGUCAAAGACUAUUCAAAGGGGUUUUUCAAAUAAACAUGCAAAACCCGUAACACUUAAAAACAAGGACAGAAGGCCACUUGAAGCAUGAAGAACAGAAUACUAUCAAAACCAUUUGCAAGUAUUUGUAUCUCCCAGGGAAGUAG